AUGGCCUGGAUUCCUCUCCUCUUCGUCCUCCUUCAUUGUACAGGGUCUUUCUCCCAACCUGUGCUGACUCAGUCACCCUCUGCCUCUGCCUCCCUGGGAGCCUCAGUCAAACUCACCUGCACCUUGAGUAGUCAGCACAGCACCUACUACAUUAGCUGGUACCAGCAAGAGCCAGACAAGGCUCCUAAAUAUUUGAUGUGGCUUAAGCAAGAUGGAAGCAGCAUGAAGGGAGAUGGGAUCCCUGAUCGCUUCUCUGGCUCCAGCUCAGGGGCUGAUCGCUACUUAACCAUCUCCAACAUUCAGCCUGAGGAUGAAGCUGACUAUAUCUGUGGUGUAGAUUAUCCUGUUGGUGGACAAACUGGGUAG